AACGAACGCUGGCGGCAUGCCUAACACAUGCAAGUCGAACGCCCCGCAAGGGGAGUGGCGAACGGGUGAGUAACGCGUGGGAACCUACCCAGCAGUUGGGGAUAACCGCGGGAAACUGCGGCUAAUACCGAAUACGUCCUUAGUGAGAAAGAUUUAUCGCUGUUGGAGGGGUCCGCGUCGGAUUAGCUAGUUGGUGAGGUAACGGCUCACCAAGGCGACGAUCCGUAGCUGGUCUGAGAGGAUGAUCAGCCACACUGGGACUUAGACACGGCCCAGACUCCUACGGGAGGCAGCAGUGGGGAAUAUUGGACAAUGGGGGCAACCCUGAUCCAGCAAUGCCGCGUGAGUGAUGAAGGCCUUAGGGUUGUAAAGCUCUUUUACCGGGGACGAUGAUGACGGUACCCGGAGAAUAAGCCCCGGCUAACUUCGUGCCAGCCGCCGCCGUAA
rnacentral:rRNA from 1 species